ACUAUUAUUAUUUUAUUUAUUCUAACUCAAGGCUUUACAGCACUGCAGAAGGGAGGGGCGAUAAAGUAGUUACAGAUUUUAUGAAGUGCACAUUACAGAAGAAGUGCAAGGAAAAAAGUACAUGGAAUGCCAAAGGUGGCAACAUUACUGGCCAGUGAGGUAUGUGCUCGUGCGUUGUCUGCUCU
rnacentral:lncRNA from 1 species